UGAAGCUAAGAUUUAAAAACUGGGAGAUGUAAGGUCUCAUCUCACCAUUGGAACUGAACGAUGAUCUGGAGUUCAGACUCUCUAGCUGGAGUUGUUGAGAAGAAGGAUCCACAUUGUGCUGAACAGCAAAGGAUGUAACUAAAGGAGUCAGCAAAAGGAAAGGAACAAGUCAAGAACGAAGACCAGAGGACAGAUAAUCCUGGGUUAUAAAAGAAAACAGGCUGAGCAAGCCAUGUCAGUAUACAGCACCCUUCCACAGUUCCAUUUCAGUUCCUGCCUCCAGGUUCCUGCCUUGGCUUUCCUUGGUGGACUAUCACCCAGAUUAUGUGAGCCAAAUAAACCUUUACUUCAUAAGUUGC